GAUCCUGGCUCAGGAUGAACGCUGACAGAAUGCUUAACACAUGCAAGUCGAUGGGGAAGUGGUGCUUGCACCAUGGUAACCAUGGCGGACGGGUGAGUAACGCGUAAGGAACUUGCCUGCGGGACCGGGAUAACAGCAGGAAACUGCUGACAAGACCGGAUAAGGUCAUUAAGCUGCAUAGCUUAGUGAUGAAAGGAGACGCCUGCGGAGAGCCUUGCGUCCUAUUAG
rnacentral:rRNA from 1 species